AGUGAACGCUGGCGGCAGGCCUAACACAUGCAAGUCGAACGGCAGCACAGCAGUAGCAAUACUGUGGGUGGCGAGUGGCGGACGGGUGAGGAAUACAUCGGAAUCUGCCUUAUCGUGGGGGAUAACGUAGGGAAACUUACGCUAAUACCGCAUACGACCUACGGGUGAAAGCGGAGGACCUUCGGGCUUCGCGCGAUAAGAUGAGCCGAUGUCGGAUUAGCUAGUUGGCGGGGUAAAGGCCCACCAAGGCGACGAUCCGUAGCUGGUCUGAGAGGAUGAUCAGCCACACUGGAACUGAGACACGGGCCAGACUCCUACGGGAGGCAGCAGUGGGGAAUAUUGGACAAUGGGCGCAAGCCUGAUCCAGCCAUGCCGCGUGGGUGAAGAAGGCCUUCGGGUUGUAAAGCCCUUUUGUCCGGAAAGAAAAGCAUCGGGUUAAUACCUCGGUGUUCUGACGGUACCGGAAGAAUAAGCACCGGCUAACUUCGUGCCAGCAGCCGCAGUAACAC
rnacentral:rRNA from 1 species